AAGGGAGACCUAAUUCAGGUAGGAGACGAAAAAAAGUAGUCCCUACCAAGAAUCAAUCCCAAAAGGUCGGAGCGAGGCAAAAUUGGCUUUCAAACUAGGUUCUGGGUUCACAUAAGACCUGAAUCAGGAACAAGGGCUAUUAGCUCAGGUGGUUAGAGCGCACCCCUGAUAGGGGUGAGGUCCCUGGUUCGAGUCCAGGAUGGCCCACCUGCACAGGUGGCAAAAACAAAGAAAAGAAGCUCCGAAUCAGCACCUUAUCUUACUCAUAUAGUAAGAGAGAAUGCUGGCUCUGAGUUCAGAGUCCAGAGGAACCUUGAAAACUGCAUAGAGCUAGGUGAAAAAGCCAAAAAAGAAGACCGCAAGGUCAAGCUAAUAAGGGCUAACGGUGGAUACCUAGGCAC
rnacentral:tRNA from 1 species